CUCGUUGUACAUCACGGAAUAUCAAGAAUCCAAUGAAUCGAGGAUGUCACAAUGUUUUCAGAAUUCCAAGUUCACGAAAAAAUCAGACAAAAGAUAGGGGUUUCAAGAUUGUAAACAUUUUCUGAUUCAAACAACUCAAUCCCCACGUCCCGGCAAAAGAGAUGACCAGCAGGCCAUUUUUUACAAGUGCAAUACUGUUGAAAAAUAUUGGCAAAUAAUAGUGUUACCGUAAUGUAUAUUUGGGCAGAGUAACAACGUUUGGAUGGUUUUGAAUGGUCGAGGCAAGAGUUCGACUCUUUCUUCUUAAAACGAUAAUGUCCCGCACUGGUACUGACGAUAUUGCAGCACUCGUUUCCCAAGAUACAACGACCUCGCCUUAUAAUAGUAAUACUUCAAAUUACAAAACCCGACGAACCGCUAAAGUUUAGAUCUCUCCACACAAACUGGAUGACUAAAAUGCACGAAAAAUAAUUUUCGAGAACUGAAUUAUAAAAACAGGAAUGAUGCAGGGACAAUGGGAUAAUUUCCGGGGAGUAGAAAAUCAAUUCUGAUUUUUGGAAUGAAUUAAAACCGAGAUAUGGGGGCCUAUAUAUAGAUGUUGAAAUGUUGUGUCCCAACAGACACAACUGUCGAAAAGUUGU
rnacentral:lncRNA from 1 species